UGGGGAAUUUUGGACAAUGGGCGAAAGCCUGAUCCAGCAAUGCCGCGUGUGUGAAGAAGGCCUUCGGGUUGUAAAGCACUUUUGUCCGGAAAGAAAUCCUUGGCUCUAAUACAGUCGGGGGAUGACGGUACCGGAAGAAUAAGCACCGGCUAACUACGUGCCAGCAGCCGCGGUAAUACGUAGGGUGCAAGCGUUAAUCGGAAUUACUGGGCGUAAAGCGUGCGCAGGCGGUUUGCUAAGACCGAUGUGAAAUCCCCGGGCUCAACCUGGGAACUGCAUUGGUGACUGGCAGGCUAGAGUACGGCAGAGGGGGGUAGAAUUCCACGUGUAGCAGUGAAAUGCGUAGAGAUGUGGAGGAAUACCGAUGGCGAAGGCAGCCCCCUGGGCCAAUACUGACGCUCAUGCACGAAAGCGUGGGGAGCAAACAGGAUUAGAUACCCUGGUAGUCCACGCCCUAAACGAUGUCAACUAGUUGUUGGGGAUUCAUUUCCUUAGUAACGUAGCUAACGCGUGAAGUUGACCGCCUGGGGAGUACGGUCGCAAGAUUAAAACUCAAAUGAAUUGACGGGGUCAUAGCUGUUUCCU
rnacentral:rRNA from 1 species